AAUGCUAAGCAGAAAAAUAAAUUUGAAUUUACAGUAACAUCUUAUUCAAAAUACUCCAUAAUUUGUGAAAUAAUUAGCUGUUUCCUCUAUCUGUAGGAGUUGAUGAGCAGCCUAAAGGCUAAAAGGAGUGGAUUGGGAAGGACCAGAGCAGCUGAAAUCUUCAGGAGCUCUUCCAAAACAUGACUUUACAGCAAACCUCCUUAUUCACGUGAGAAACAUUAGUAUUAUUUUCCUUGAAUGAAAGUCAUGACAGAGUUAUUUAUCCCAGAGUGAAGAUGAAAAACAGAUGUCUUUUAACUACUACUCCUCCCUCCUUCCAACGAGCAAAAGAAUAUGGCGACUGAGUGCGAAGCCUCGUGGUCAAGAACAGAUGUAAUAAGAGAAAACCAUAUGAAUGAGCCAAUCAGAUGCACCCAUAUGUGAUGACGUUUGCUUAUGUCACUUUGGCUAUAAAAGCUGUAACUUGAAUAAAGGGUUCCCUUCUGUUGGAGAUGAUGA